rnacentral:rRNA from 1 species
GGGGGGGGGGGGGGGGGGGCGGGGCGCGGGCGGGGCGAGCGGCGGCGCAGGAGGAGCGUGCUCUUACGGGUGGCGAGUGGCGGACGGGUGAGGGAUACAUCGGAAGCUGCUUUUUCGUGGGGGAUAACGUAGGGAAACUGACGCGAAUACCGCAGACGACCUACGGGUGAAAGCAGGGGAUCUUCGGACCUUGCGCGAUUGAAUGAGCCGAUGUCGGAUUAGCUAGUUGGCGGGGUAAAGGCCCACCAAGGCGACGAUCCGUAGCUGGUCUGAGAGGAUGAUCAGCCACACUGGAACUGAGACACGGUCCAGACUCCUACGGGAGGCAGCAGUGGGGAAUAUUGGACAAUGGGCGCAAGCCUGAUCCAGCCAUACCGCGUGGGUGAAGAAGGCCUUCGGGUUGUAAAGCCCUUUUGUUGGGAAAGAAAAGCAGCAGAUUAAUACCCCGCUGUUCUGACGGUACCCAAAGAAUAAGCACCGGCUAACUUCGUG